rnacentral:rRNA from 1 species
GGUGAACGCUAGCUACAGGCUUAACACAUGCAAGUCGAGGGGUAACGAGAGGAAAGCUUGCUUUCCUUGUCGACGACCGGCGCACGGGUGAGUAACGCGUAUCCAACCUGCCCCCAACUAGGGAAUAACCUUGCGAAAGUAAGACUAAUACCCUAUAAUUUCCUCAGAUGUCAUCUGACGAGGAAUAAAGAUUUAUCGGUUGUGGAUGGGGAUGCGUCUGAUUAGCUUGUUGGCGGGGUAACGGCCCACCAAGGCAACGAUCAGUAGGGGUUCUGAGAGGAAGGUCCCCCACAUUGGAACUGAGACACGGUCCAAACUCCGACGGGAGGCAGCAGUGAGGAAUAUUGGUAAAUGGGCGGAAGCCUGAACCAGCCAAGUAGCGUGCAGGAUGAAGGCCCUAUGGGUUGUAAACUGCUUUUAUACAGGAAUAAAGUUAGCCACGUGUGGUUAUUUGUAGGUACUGUAUGAAUAAGGACCGGCUAAUUCCGUGCCAGCCGCCGCCGUAA